rnacentral:rRNA from 1 species
GACGAACGCUGGCGGCGUGCUUAACACAUGCAAGUCGAACGGAAAGGCCCUGCUUUUGUGGGGUGCUCGAGUGGCGAACGGGUGAGUAACACGUGAGUAACCUGCCCUUGACUUUGGGAUAACUUCAGGAAACUGGGGCUAAUACCGGAUAGGAGCUCCUGCUGCAUGGUGGGGGUUGGAAAGUUUCGGCGGUUGGGGAUGGACUCGCGGCUUAUCAGCUUGUUGGUGGGGUAGUGGCUUACCAAGGCUUUGACGGGUAGCCGGCCUGAGAGGGUGACCGGCAACAUUGGGACUGAGAUACGGCCCAGACUCCUACGGGAGGCAGGAGUGGGGAAUAUUGCACAAUGGGCGGAAGCCGGAUGCAGCAACGCCGCGUGCGGGAUGACGGCCUUCGGGUUGUAAACCGCUUUCGCCUGUGACGAAGCGUGAGUGACGGUAAUGGGUAAAGAAGCACCGGCGAACUACGU